CCUACGUGAGGCAGCAGUGAGGAAUAUUGGUCAAUGGGCGGGAGCCUGAACCAGCCAAGUCGCGUGAGGGAAGACGGUCCUAUGGAUUGUAAACCUCUUUAGUCGGGGAGCAAUGCCGGGCACGCGUGCCCUGAGGGAGAGUACCCGCAGAAUAAGCAUCGGCUAACUCCGUGCCAGCAGCCGCGGUAAUACGGAGGAUGCGAGCGUUAUCCGGAUUUAUUGGGUUUAAAGGGUGCGUAGGCGGAUUUUUAAGUCAGCGGUAAAAUGUCCGGGCUCAACCCGGGCCGGCCGUUGAAACUGGGGAUCUUGAGUGGGCGAGAAGUAUGCGGAAUGCGUGGUGUAGCGGUGAAAGGCAUAGAUAUCACGCAGAACUCCGAUUGCGAAGGCAGCAUACCGGCGCCCGACUGACGCUGAGGCACGAAAGCGUGGGGAUCGAACAGGAUUAGAUACCCGUGUAGUC
rnacentral:rRNA from 1 species